UGACGGCCGUACCAUGCUGAAUAUACCGGUUCUCGUUAGAUCACCGAAGUCAAGCAUCAUUGGGCGCGGUCAGUACUUGGGUGGGUGACCACCUGGGAACACCGCGUGCCGUU